rnacentral:rRNA from 1 species
AGUGAACGCUGGCGGUAGGCCUAACACAUGCAAGUCGAACGGCAGCACAGUAAGAGCUUGCUCUUACGGGUGGCGAGUGGCGGACGGGUGAGGAAUACAUCGGAAUCUACUUUUUCGUGGGGGAUAACGUAGGGAAACUUACGCUAAUACCGCAUACGACCUACGGGUGAAAGCAGGGGAUCUUCGGACCUUGCGCGAUUGAAUGAGCCGAUGUCGGAUUAGCUAGUUGGCGGGGUAAAGUCCCACCAAGGCGACGAUCCGUAGCUGGUCUGAGAGGAUGAUCAGCCACACUGGCACUGAGACACGGUCCAGACUCCUACGGGAGGCAGCAGUGGGGAAUAUUGGACAAUGGGCGCAAGCCUGAUCCAGGCAUACCGCGUGGGUGAAGAAGGCCUUCGGGUUGUAAAGCCCUUUUGUUGGGAAAGAAAAGCAGCAGGUUAAUACCCCGCUGUUCUGACGGUACCCAAAGAAUAAGCACCGGCUAACUUCGUG